UACGUAGGGUGCAAGCGUUGCCCGGAUUUAUUGGGCGUAAAGGGCGCGUAGGCGGCUCUGCACGUCCGUUGUGAAAUCGCCCGGCUCAACUGGGCGGGGUCAGCGGAUACGGCAGAGCUUGAGCAAGCUAGGGGGCAAUGGAAUUCCCGGUGUAGUGGUGAAAUGCGUAGAUAUCGGGAGGAACACCAGAGGCGAAGGCGGGUUACUGGGCUGAUACUGACGCUGAUGCGCGAAAGCCAGGGGAGCAAACGGG
rnacentral:rRNA from 1 species